rnacentral:rRNA from 1 species
CCUACGGGUGGCAGCAGUGAGGAAUAUUGGUCAAUGGCCGAGAGGCUGAACCAGCCAAGUCGCGUGAGGGAAGAAGGCUCUAUGGGUUGUAAACCUCUUUUGUCGGGGAGCAAAGCGAACCACGUGUGGAUAUUUGCGAGUACCCGAAGAAAAAGCAUCGGCUAACUCCGUGCCAGCAGCCGCGGUAAUACGGAGGAUGCGAGCGUUAUCCGGAUUUAUUGGGUUUAAAGGGUGCGCAGGUGGUGGUGCAAGUCAGCGGUAAAAAUUUGGGGCUCAACCCCAUCGUGCCGUUGAAACUGGUGUACUUGAGUGGGCGAGAGGUAGGCGGAAUGCGUGGUGUAGCGGUGAAAUGCAUAGAUAUCACGCAGAACUCCGAUUGCGAAGGCAGCAUAC